UACCAAGGCUAAGACGGUUAGCUGGACUGAGAGGUUGCCCAGCCACUGGGACUGAGACACUGCCCAGACUCCUACGGGAGGCUGCAGUCGAGGAUAUUUAGCAAUGGACGAAAGUCUGACUAUGCGACGCCGCGUGCAGGAUGAAGGUCUUCGGAUUGUAAACUGCUUUUGUCUGGGGCGAAACCUUCAGCGUUAACACCGCUGAAUCUGACGGUACCAGACGAAUAAGCCACGGCCAACUCUGUGCCAGCAGCCGCGGUAAUACAGAGGUGGCAAGCGUUAUUCGGAAUUAUUGGGUGUAAAGGGCAGGUAGGCGGCUAGGUAAGUGAGGGGUGAAAUCCCACGGUUCAAUCGUGGUACAGCCUUUCAAACUGCCUGGCUUGAGUAUGACAGGGGAAGAUGGAAUUCUCGGUGUAAGGGUGAAAUCUGUAGAUAUCGGGAAGAACACCAACGGCGAAGGCAAUCUUCUGGGUCAUUACUGACGCUGAGCUGCGAAAGCUAGGGGAGCAAACAGAAUUAGAUACUCUGGUAGUCCUAGCCGUAAACGAUGAGUACUAGGUGUUGGGUCCUUCGGGACUCGGUGCCGAAGCUAACGCAUUAAGUACUCCACCUGGGGACUACGGUCGCAAGGCUAAAACUCAAAGGAAUUGACGGGGGCCCGCACAAGCGGUGGAACAUGUGGUUUAAUUCGAUGCUACGCGAAAAACCUCACCUGGGCUUGACAUGUAAGUAGUAGAGAAAUGAAAGUGGAUCGAACCGUCAAGUCGGUAGCUUACACAGGUGCUGCAUGGCUGUCGUCAGCUCGUGUCGUGAGAUGUUGGGUUAAGUCCCGCAACGAGCGCAACCAUUGCCCUAUGUUGCCACUCCGGUGCUUCGAAAGAAGUACUGGAAGCACUCUUAGGGGACUGCCUGGGACAACCAGGAGGAAGGUGGAGAUGACGUCAAGUCAGUACGGCCUUUAUGCCCAGGGCGACACACGUGUUACAAUGGAUACUACAAAGGGUUGCCAACCCGCGAGGGGGAGCUAAUCUCAAAAAAGUAUUCUCAGUUCGGAUUGGAGUCUGCAAUUCGACUCCAUGAAGCCGGAAUCGCUAGUAAUGGUGGAUCAGCACGCCACCGUGAAUACGUUCCCGGGCCUUGUACACACCGCCCGUCAAGCGAUGGGAGCCGGAAGUACCCGAAGUCCUAUGUAGGUAGGCCCAAGGUAAAGCCGGUGACUGGCGCUAAGUCGAAACAAGGUA
rnacentral:rRNA from 1 species